GACGUAGGGCGCGAGCGUUGUCCGGAUUUAUUGGGCGUAAAGAGCUCGUAGGCGGCUUGUCGCGUCGUCCGUGAAAACUUGGGGCUCAACCCCAAGCUUGCGGUCGAUACGGGCAGGCUCGAGUUCGGUAGGGGAGACUGGAAUUCCUGGUGUAGCGGUGAAAUGCGCAGAUAUCUGGAGGAACACCGGUGGCGAAGGCGGCGUCCUGGACCAACACUGACACUGAUGAGCGAAAGCCAGGGGAGCAAACGGG
rnacentral:rRNA from 1 species